GCCUGUGGUUGGUGCUACACGGACGUCGAGGCAACCGGAGCGCUGGAGGGGCAUCUGUGACUGGGGUUAGGCAGACCUGGUCUAUACGGCCAUGCAAAAUAAGACCUGCGUUGUUCUCUUCUGACUCCUAGGGAGUGAAGGCUCCUGCAGAUGCGUAUGAUAAACAGCACUGCAAGCUUCUCCGCUGCCACUAUACUUUAACUCUGAGCUGGAAGGACCACUUCUGGAAAUGAGGGGAGCCCUGUAAAUACACAGGUCACUGACUAGGACCCCAAUUCCUGCAAAGACUUAUGUGAAUAGUUUGAGUAUCGGCCUAUUCAUAUGCUGAAAGUUGAACAUGUGAAAGUUUUUGAAGAACCAGUCACUUCUAUCAGUGUUUUCUUGAAGACAAAAGUUUGUCUUUCUUUAGUAAAAGGUGUAGUUUGUGUACACCAUUUAUGCAUGUACGCAGUUAUCUAAAUUAAUCUUGUUAAUGAGCACAUGAGUCAAUACCCAAACCAUAUAGGCUUAUAUGAAACAGACAAAUUAGAGUUGUUAGAGCCAACUGAAUUUCACUCUUGGCAGUAACUCAGAGUCUGCCAAUCACUAAAUUAGCAUUGCAAAUAUACUAAACUAGCAUUGCAAAUAUACUGAGUCAUAAAGCACUUCAUAAAAACCUGUGUGAGUAUGAACUGUCUGUAUAUUGGAUUUUAAAGGGAUCUGAUCAAAAAUACCAUAAGGUAUGUUUUAGAAUUAGCCACCUUGUAACAGAUUUGUAAUUAGUCACAUCAGCACCCAUUCUUUAUUCAAUUGGGGCUGAAUUCUAAUCCCCUAUACAAAAUAAAUAUUCAGGCUUUGCACAGGGCACCUAUGGUAAAUGGAGUUGGGGGGUGGUGGUGGAGAAUCCUACUUUACCAACCUGCAGCUGGCAUGAAGGAGUCAAUUCUAUUUUGCAGCAACAACUGCAUCAUCUGGGUUCUAUCAGAGGCUAUAACCUGCUAUAUGCCCUCCACUGGGGGGUUCUGGGCAAUGGAUAGAUGUAGUUGUUGGACCUAUGUGAACUCUCUCCCUCCAUGUUGCUGCCAUGAAGCACUGCUCUGCUGUGCAAGAGGUGCAGAGUACUCCUGCAUGGCCUACCUCCCUCAGUGGAGUUGUACAUUGUACAUCUACUGCUCUUUAGGCCUGUAUCCCACACAAGAGGUUGGCACUGAAUACAGGGCAAAUCAUGUCCUCAUGGGUAGCAGAUCUAUUAACAUAAAUUAGAAGAUAUCCACUGCUCUACCAGACACUACAUGAAGUUACUUCUACAUAAUUAUUUUAUAUUUUUAAUGGUCUCAUAACAGUUAAGGGGGUGGUAAUACAGAAUCCUAAUGAUAUUACAUUGAAAACUGAGUGAUAAAUCUACUGUGCAUAAUUCAGAUUCUGGUUUAACAUGGGAUUUAUAUCUAGACAACAACAAAAUAGCACAUUUGACUCCCAGAAAAUUUAGUUUUUGCAGUGAGUAUUAACACCAUAGUAUAUGAUAACAAGGUGGACAGCAAGUAGUAAAAAAUGCUACUAGUUGCAUAAAAACAAAUGUUAUAAAAUUAAAUAGGAUUUUCCACUUAAAGAAAGAAGACCUAAAUAUAUUUAAAAAACUCAAAACUCCACCUUAAAUCGGACUUUUUAAAAUAGUUUAAAUAUCUGAUUAAAUUCUUCA